rnacentral:rRNA from 1 species
AAUUUUGCAAAAUGGAGGGAACUCUGAUGCAGCGAGGGCGCGUGAAUGAUGAAAGCCUUCGAGUCGAAAAGUUCUGUUAUAUGGGACGACAAUCACGGUCCCAGAGGAGGAAACGCAGGCAAACUACGUACCAGCAGCCGCGGUAAUACGUCGGGGGCGAACGUUGUCCGGAUUUAUUGGGCGUAAAGGGUAAGCAGGCGGACAUGUAAGACAGAUGUGAAAUCCUAGGGCUUAACCCUAGUUCGCAUUUGAAACUGUGUGGCUUGAGUUAAGGAGAGGAGAGUGGAAUUCCUAGUGUAGCGGUGAAAUGCGUAGAUAUUAGGAGGAAUACCAGUGGCGAGGGCGACUUUCUGGACUUAUACUGACGCUGAGGUACGAAAGCGUGGGGAGCAAACA